rnacentral:rRNA from 1 species
UACAGAGGGUGCAAGCGUUGUUCGGAAUUACUGGGCGUAAAGCGCGUGUAGGCGGCGAUGUAAGUCGGGUGUGAAAUCCCUCAGCUUAACUGAGGAAGUGCACUCGAUACUGCGUUGCUUGAAUGCCGGAGGGGAUGGCGGAAUUCCCAGUGUAGAGGUGAAAUUCGUAGAUAUUGGGAAGAACACCGGUGGCGAAGGCGGCUCACUGGCUCAUUACUGACGCUCAGGCGCGAUAGCGUGGGGAUCAAACAGG